rnacentral:rRNA from 1 species
UACAUGGGGUGCAAACGUUGCUCGGAAUUAUUGGGCGUAAAGCGCACGUAGGCGGUUUGUUAAGUCGGAUGUGAAAUCCCUCGGCUCAACUGAGGAAGUGCAUCCGAAACUGGCAAGCUUGAGUACGAAAGAGGGUCGCGGAAUUCCCGGUGUAGAGGUGAAAUUCGUAGAUAUCGGGAGGAACACCGGUGGCGAAGGCGGCAUUCUGGACCGACAUUGACGCUGAGGAGCGAAAGCCAGGGGAGCAAACGGG